UACGGAGGGUGCGAGCGUUGUUCGGAAUUAUUGGGCGUAAAGCGCGUGCAGGCGGUUUUUUAAGUCUGAUGUGAAAGCCCUGGGCUCAACCCGGGAAGUGCAUUGGAAACUGGCAGACUUGAGUACGGGAGAGGGCAGUGGAAUUCCAGGUGUAGGGGUGAAAUGCGUAGAGAUCAGGAGGAACACCGGUGGCGAAGGCGGCUGCCUGGACCGAUAUUGACGCUCAGACGCGAAAGCGUGGGGAGCAAACAGG
rnacentral:rRNA from 1 species